rnacentral:ribozyme from 1 species
UGCCUAGCAACUCAUAUCCCUACCUCCUCGUAGUACUGGCCGGGGUACGAGUAACGUUGGGGAGAAAGAUCGGGUAACACACCCCCCGUGGGAACAUUGGUCGUAUGCUGACAGGGAAGG